rnacentral:rRNA from 1 species
ACGAACGCUGGCGGCGUGCUUAACACAUGCAAGUCGAACGGAAAGGCCCUGCUUUUGUGGGGUGCUCGAGUGGCGAACGGGUGAGUAACACGUGAGUAACCUGCCCUUGACUUUGGGAUAACGUCAGGAAACUGGGGCUAAUACCGGAUAGGAGCUCCUGCUGCAUGGUGGGGGUUGGAAAGUUUCGGCGGUUGGGGAUGGACUCGCGGCUUAUCAGCUUGUUGGUGGGGUAGUGGCUUACCAAGGCUUUGACGGGUAGCCGGCCUGAGAGGGUGACCGGCCACAUUGGGACUGAGAUACGGCCCAGACUCCUACGGGAGGCAGCAGUGGGGAAUAUUGCACAAUGGGCGGAAGCCUGAUGCAGCAACGCCGCGUGCGGGAUGACGGCCUUCGGGUUGUAAACCGCUUUCGCCUGUGACGAAGCGUGAGUGACGGUAAUGGGUAAAGAAGCACCGGCUAACUACGUG